ACCCCCUUCUCUUCCUGAAGGCUCCGCCCCUUCUGUAAGCCACGCCUCUUCUGAUGCCCUUUGGGGGCCAAUAAGCCACGCUCCCUACUUAAACCACGCCCCCUCAUUUAGGCCACGCCCACUUCAGUUAGGCCACACCCUUUCUCUAACCCACGCCGCUUCUGAUAGGCUCCACUCCCACCAAUGAUGUCCUGUGGAGACCCAUCAGCCACACCCCCUAUUUAAGCCAUGAUUUUUUCAUUCAGGCCACGCUUCCUUUUUAACAGGCCCCGCCCUUUUCUAAGCCACGCCUCCUCCAAUAGGCCAUGCCCCUUCUAAUAGGCUCAUUUCCCACCAAUGGUGUCUUACAGAGGCCAAUAAGCCACGCCUCCUACUUAAACCACGCCCCCUUAUUCAGGCCACGCCCCCAGUGGUAGGCCACACCCCUUGUGAUAGGCUCAGCUCUCACCAAUGAUGUAUGGAGUGCAAUAAGCCACGCCCCCUGCUUAAGCCACGCCUCCUACUUAAUCCCCGCCCCCAUAUUCAGACCACGCCCAUCGCUUUAGGCCACACCCCCUUUCUUGAAGCCACACCCUUUUUUCCCUAAGCCCCGCCCCCUCCCGCAGGCUCAGCGAAUCCCUGACGCGGGACGGCGCUCAGAUCCGCGCCCACAUCCGCCUGGUGCUGGAGGGCCUGCGGGAGCUGCAGGGCUUCCAGGAUCCCUCAAGUGACCUCUGACCUCGGGGUGACCUUUGACCUCGGGGUGACCUCUGACCCUUUGGAGUGGGGGGGGGAAGGGGGGGAUUCUGGGAUUGGGGAGAGAUGGAGGAAGGGGGGAGGGAAGGCGGAGUAAAGUGGUGUAAAGGAGCUGCAAUAAACGGCGCGUGUCCCCAGUGUCCCAUUGACCCCAUAAGUCCCCAUUGACCCCAUAAGUCCCCAUUGACCCCA